rnacentral:SRP_RNA from 1 species
GCCAGGUAUGGUGGUGCAUGCCUGUAAUCCCAGCUACUCGGGAGGCUGAGGCAGGAGAAUCACUUGAAUCCAGGAGGCGGAGGUUGCAGUGAGCUGAGAUGGUGCCACUGCACUCUAGCCUGGGUGACAGAGUGAGACUCAGUUUCAG